rnacentral:rRNA from 1 species
GACGGGAACUGUCCUAACGGUUGUUCGGAAUCACAUGGGCUUAAAGGGCGUCGCUAGGACGGCCAACUAAGUCAAGACCGUGAAAUCCCUCGGGCUUAACCGGGGAACUGCGUCUGAUACUGGAUGGCUCGAGGUUUGGGAGAGGGAUGCGGAAUUCCCGGUGUAGUGGUGAAAAUGCGCAGAUAUCAGGAGGAACACCGGUGGCGAAGGCGGGUCUCUGGGCCGAAACUGACGCUGGAGGAAGCGAAAGCGUCGGGGAGCAAACAGG